ACUGCAGUACAUCGCUAGGAGCCUCAGUAUUCAUCAUCUGAUACAACCCUCGUUGAACAUAGCAGACAUUAUAUAUGGAUAUGACAAAUAAUAUAAUUUUAGUCCAAUUCUUUUAGUGUCAAAUCUGUGUAAAAAGCAUCCAGUGUUUGAAUGCACCAUGCUACACUGGAGGAAUUUGUUUAUUUGUGCAUUUGGAUGUGUGUUUUUAAUAUGCAUCUGUCUUUCAGAGGCAAAAAAGCCACCCGUUGGAUUGAUAUCACCUGGAAACUCACAAACUGAGAGCAACUCAGGCCUUAAUUCCACUGGUUUGAAACACAUCCAGUACAUCACUAGCAGAACAAGAAUACAGAUUGAUUUAAGUGGGCCAAACGUGUGCGGAAUGAGAUGCUGUCCUGGAUGGAUCAUUCAUCCCAAGACUAAAAAAUGCACAAAACGUGAGUGAUUAAGUUUAAAAUCUUGUGAAACUCUAUUCAUAUAUAGUAUAUUUAUUAUAUAUUUUUAAUAAUGAAAGCUAUGUGCCCAAAACCCUAUCUAUAAUAACGAGACAAACAGAGGGAAUAUUGCAACAUUGCUGUUUUAUGGAUGGAUGAGACCAAAAUAUAACUUUUUGGUUUAAAUGAGUAGUGCUAUGUUUGGAGAAAGGAAAACACUGUAUUCAAGCAUAAGUACCUUAUCGUAUCUUUGAAACAUGGUGGUGGCAGUACGAUGGUUUGGGCCUGUUGUGCUGCAUCUGGACCAGAACACCUUGUUAUAACUGAACAAUGAAUUCUCAAUGAUACCAGUAAAUUCUGAAGGAAAAUUUCAGGACAUCUGUCCUUGAACUGAAUCUCAAGAGAAUAUGAGUCAUGCAGCAAGACACUGACCUUAAGCACACAAGUGGUCCUGACCUUGAUCCAAUAGAAAUGUUGUUUAAGGACCAGUUCAUGUGAGGAAACCCAUAAUAUUGAAGUGGGGGGUAAUGAAUGUAGUAUGCAAAAUUAUUUUACAAAUAAAAAAUGUAAAAGAUUUGACUGCAUAAAUAUUGACCCAAGUAAAUGUAAACCCCUAAAUUAGUUAUAGAGUAAACCACUUGCCAUCAGAAAUCAUAUAAUUAGCUGAAUGGAGUCAAGCUGUGUGCAAAUAAAGUCUAUUGUAAUAUUAAUUUGUAACAGUACAAAAUGUUGAAAACUGAAAGGGGGGGUGAAUACUUAAGCAGUAUUUGCAAUGGAAAGAGUGUUAACAGCAACAGCAACUAGGGUAAUAAUAUCAAUCUAACAAGCUCUCUUUCUCUCUGCAGCAAAGUGUUCUCCUUAUUGUUAUAACAGAGCCAUGUGCAGAAAGCAAAGCCUGUGUCGGUGCCGUUUAGGUUCUCAGCACUGUAAACAGAAUCAAACAAUCUCUUCAUCUGAAAUUUCAUCCACACCUGUAACUGUGCCAGAAGCCAUGCCCACAUACAAAACCACGCCUUCACCUGUGCUACCCACACCAGUCACGACUGACUCAAACAUGGGGAAAUAUUCUGUACGCUGGAAGCCUCUAAGGUAUUUGGAUCAUUAUCCUGCAGGAUGAUUCAACCACGGCCCAUUCACACCUGAGACCUUGUAAGACUAACAAGUCACAUGACACCGAGGAGAGAAAAUGGCUAAUUGGGCCCAAUUUGGACAUUUUCACUUAGGGAUGUACUCACUUUUGUUGCCAGCAGUUUAGACAUUAAUGGCUGUGUGUUGAGUUAUUUUGAGGGGACAGCAAAUUUACAGUUACACAAGCAGUACACUCUCUACUUUACCUUGUAGCAAAGUGUCAUUUCUUCAGUGUUGUCACAUUAAAAGAUACAAUCAAAUAUUUACAAAAAUGUUAAG